rnacentral:rRNA from 1 species
GCCAAACAACUAGCUUAACCAAUAAUAAUUAAAUCUACAACAUAUAUAAAAAAUAUAAACCGAGAACCAUUUAACUAAACCAUUCUUUACCAUAGUAUGGGAGACAGAAAAGGAACACCUCAAAGCCAUAGAAAAAGUACCGCAAGGGAAAGUUGAAAGAGAAAUGAAAUAACUCAUGUAAGCCAUAAAAAACAAAGACUAAACCUUGUACCUUUUGCAUCAUGAUUUAGCAAGUACACCAAAGCAAAGAGACCUUUAGUUUUAAGCCCCGAAACCAGGUGAGCUACCCCGAGACAGCCUACAAAACUAGGGCCAACCCGUCUCUGUGGCAAAAGAGUGGGAAGAGCUCCGGGUAGAAGUGAUAUACCUAUCGAACCUGGUGAUAGCUGGUUGCCUAAGAAAUGAAUAUAAGUUUAGCCUCGUACAACCUAAGUCAACACAAAUAAAAUAAGACAACUUAAGGAAAAACACGAGAGUUAGUUUAAGGUGGUACAGCCCCUCAAACAAAGGAUACAACCUUAACAGGAGAAUAAAGAUCAUACCACAAAAAAUAUUUUGUCUAAGUGGGCCUAAAAGCAGCCACCUAAAUAGAAAGCGUUAAAGCUCAGACAAACAAAAAUUUAUCAUUCCGACAAAUAAUCUUAUUUCCCCUUAAAUAUUAGGCUAUUUCAUGCACCCAUGAAAGAAAUUAUGCUAAAAUGAGUAACAAGAAAAACCAGAUUUUCUCCUGGCAUAAGUGUAAAUCAGAUCGGACCCAACACUGAUAAUUAACGAACCCAAACAAAGAGGGUAAUAUGAAUAACUUAAUAACCAAGAAAACCUCAUAAUUAAAAAUCGUUAUUCUCACACUAGAAUGCAUAAAAGGAAAGACUAAAAGACAAGGAAGGAACUCAGCAAACCCAAGCCUCGCCUGUUUACCAAAAACAUCGCCUCUUGAAAUAUUUAAAUAUAAGAGGUCCAGCCUGCCCAGUGACUACAAGUUUAACGGCCGCGGUAUUUUAACCGUGCAAAGGUAGCGCAAUCACUAGUCCCUUAAAUGGGGACCUGUAUGAAUGGUUAAACGAGGGCUUAACUGUCUCCCCUGUUUAGUCAGUGAAAUUGAUCUAUCCGUGCAGAAGCGGGUAUAAUAAUACAAGACGAGAAGACCCUUUGGAGCUUAAGGUACAAGACUCACCCAUAUUAAGCAAACCUUAAAAGUCAUAAAUACUAAUGAACAUGAGACUCUACCUUCGGUUGGGGCGACCACGGAGUAAAUAAUAACCUCCGAGUGGAUUGGAAGCUAUCCAAAACUAAGAUAAAACACCUCUAAGCAACAGAACAUCUGACCAAACAUGACCCAGCUAUUAAGCUGAUCAACGAAACAAGUUACCCAAGGGAUAACAGCGCAAUCCUCUUCCAGAGUCCAUAUCGACGAGGGGGUUUACGACCUCGAUGUUGGAUCAGGACAUCCUAAUGGUGCAACCGCUAUUAAGGGUUCGUUUGUUCAACGAUUAAAGUCCUACGUGAUCUGAGUUCAGACCGGAGCAAUCCAGGUCAGUUUCUAUCUGUAACGUUAAUUCUCCUAGUACGAAAGGGCCGGAGAAAUAGGGCCUAUACUAAAAGCACGCCCUACCCCAAAUUAAUGAAUCUAAAUAAAUUAAAUAAAGGGAGAGCAUAAGCUACCCUCCUAGUCAAGGAGUU